rnacentral:lncRNA from 1 species
AUCCCCUUGGGGACAUCCCGGUGGGGACAUCCAUGGGGUUACCCCAGUGGGGACAUCCCGGUGGGGACAGGGCCAUCCCCUUGGGGACAUCCCGGUGGGGACAGAGCCGCCCCCUUGGGGACAUCCCGGUGGGGACAUCCAUGUGGUUACCCCAGUGGGGACAUCCCGGUGGGGACAGGGCCAUCCCCUUGGGGACAUCCAUGUGGUUACCCCAGUGGGGACAUCCCGGUGGGGACAGGGCCAGCCCUUGGGGACAUCCAUGGGGUCACCCCAUUGGGGACAUCCCAUUGGUGCCAUCACCUUGGGGACAUCUUGGGGACAUCCCCACUGAGGUCACCCCAUUGGGGACAUCCCCAGGGCCACCCCACUGGGGACAUCACCUUGGGGACAUCCCCCAUUAGGGUCACCUCAUUUGGGACAUCGCCUUGGGGACACCCUCAGGGUCACCACGAUCAGGGCCACCCCUUGGGGACAUCCCAGUGGUGACA